AAAGGAAUAGACGGGGACCCGCACAAGCAGUGGAGUAUGUGGUUUAAUUCGACGCAACGCGAAGAACCUUACCAAGGCUUGACAUCCUCUGACCGCUGUAGAAAUACAGUUUCCCUUCGGGGCAGAGUGACAGGUGGUGCAUGGUUGUCGUCAGCUCGUGUCGUGAGAUGUUGGGUUAAGUCCCGCAACGAGCGCAACCCCUAUGGUUUGUUGCCAUCAUUCAGUUGGGCACUCAAACAAGACUGCCGUUGACAAAACGGAGGAAGGUGGGGACGACGUCAAAUCAUCAUGCCCCUUAUGUCUUGGGCUACGCACGUACUACAAUGGCUGUGACAGAGGGCAGCGACACCGCGAGGUGAAGCGAAUCCCAAAACGCAGUCCCAGUUCGGAUUGCAGGCUGAAACUCGCCUGCAUGAAGCAGGAAUUGCUAGUAAUGGCAGGUCAGCAUACUGCCGUGAAUACGUUCCCGGGUCUUGUACACACCGCCCGU
rnacentral:rRNA from 1 species